UAGUUGCUGCACUGUGCGAGAUUUGGUUAAAGGGAAGCCAUAAUGUCAGCUCAGAGCUAUCUAUGAUCAAGAAAUAUAGAUUUCAUUGGGUGGUGGCAUUUGUUAUUACAACAAUAUAUUUGUCCUUGUUAUAUGGCUUAUAUGUGCCGGACUGGGAAUAUCAGAUUUCAAGAGAAGACCAAGGAUCAUCAACAUUCUUGAAUCUGAAAGUGAAAUGUGGG